UGUGAAGUUGUCAUGAAUGUAAUUGUGUCUGUUCUGCAGGAAUUCUGCGACCUUCAAGUCCUUUGAGGAUAAAAUGGGAAACCUGAAGGAACAGUAAUGAGACUCUACUCUGUCUCUGCAGUAUAAGGUCGUCGGCCCCAGAGGAAACGGAGACGCCGUCGGCUCCCCCACCGACACCACCCCCACUCAGGAGAAUCCUCCUUUCUGAACGCACGCCGCCUCUUCCACUUCCUGUUCCUCCUCCCACUCCUAACUGCCACCUUCCUUCAUGACCUGAGACUGUACUGUUGUCACCUCACAUGGGUCAGCCCUGACCUUUGACCCUCCGCCUCGCCGCCUCACCUCCGCUCACGUGCCCCUAAACGCCGACAGGCCGAUGCGACGGACUUGUGAAUUUGAGGUGGGAGGUCAACCUUUACUCCUCUGCCUCGCUGUUGAUCUCUAAACCUGAAUCAUUUACAAACUCGUCGCCUGUGGUCACAUCGCCUCCUCCUCCCUCAGAUCCUCACGUUCUCAUUCGGGCUCAAAUCUAAACUAAAUUCAUUUUUCAUUUUGGCCUCGAGCUGUUUUAGAAACACUCAGUGUCCCCGGACUUCAAGUUCCCCAAAUCCAGUUCACAGCUCGUUUGUCACGAUUUGGUCGAAUUGAAUUCAUCACAUUUGACUUGAAUCUCCUGCAGGAGGUGGUGUUUGUUUAGGGAGCAGGAAAUCUGCAGACUGAGGGAGGAGGAGGAGAAAAUCAUUGAUUCACUACUUAAUCGAAUAUUUCCGUCAACUUUCUCUCUGACUACUUCAGUGAGCGUCACCUUCUCCCCACCUCGUCCCCAGUUUCACUCACAGGUCAGAGGUCAGUGGUAUGACUGGGGCGGGGGGGUUGGGGGCGGAGCUACUCCUGCUACAUGCAUGUGCACAUCUCAUCUCAGUUGAACCAUGACAACCAUGCAAAGACGACCGAGGUCUUCUGUAAAAAUAAAAACCCCCAGAAAAAAUAAAACCGUAAACCAUUUUGUAUUAUAAACUAUUUUACACUGCUUUGCAUAAUGUUUUUACAUAACUUUUAUCAAUAUGUAUAAAUAUAUCUGAAUAAAUCUAUUGUCAGCGAUGCUGCGGGACGGAGCUCAUCACGUCUGAAGGGAGAAGAAUGUUUCAGUUUCACAGACACGGACAGUUUCUCCUGCUCAUGUCCCGGAAACGUCAUGUUUGUGAAACGGACUCAUUCCGGUGGAGUUGUAGGCGUCUGGGCGAGAAGCAGCGUCUAAGUUCUGUGGCUCCUCCCUCUGCUGACGACGUGAGACGAUGCUUUGCUGUGUAACGCUAUCGCCGCUUGUCUCUCGGCCUGACUCACGUUAAACGCUUCGCCCGUUCUGUCGCUGGUAGAACACCGAGUCCUUUUGUUUCGUACUAAUUAGUUUUUGUCGCACGGACCGGUUGGAUUGAAGGAAGGGGAGUUAGCAUCAAGAUGUUGAGAGUCUGACGGCUCAACGUCACAAACGUCCAGCUGCCGUCACCGAAGCUUUGCCAACGACCCCUCAACGCACACACGCACUUCUGUUAACACACUAAAUGUCCUGAUGGUGCACACACGCUGCACGAGGCCGAAACAAACACAAAGUCACAGUUGCUCUUAUUGUUGUUGACCUGCACGCCCCAACACACACACACACACACACACACACACACACACACACACACACACACUCACUCACACACACACACUCUCACACACACACACACACUCUCUCUCAGUCGUCUCUGGAACCUGAGUCGUUUCUCUUGAAUGUGGAAAAAGAGGAGAAAGUAGUUUUCUAGUGUUUUGGUUUUUUCUGGCACAAAGAUCUCUGAUACACGUGCAACACUGCCUCUAGUGGUGAAACCUCCCAAACCACGCGCAGCGCCCUGCUCCUGCAGCCGCAGGCUCGUGAUGCACGUGUGAUCUCAGCAUCUGGAGGAAGAAAAAACCUCAACUCUCCAAAUGUUGCUCAGUGUUUUUUUCAUUUUUGCCAAAAUUCGGUGUCAAAGUGUCACGAGUCGACUUGUGCUUCAGGAAGUGACAUCAUCCAUAACGAGCUGUUCGAAGCCAAAACUUCCCUGGAAGAUUUGAACUCGAGCCAUAGAUUUAAACCGUUCAGGUCAAAGUGAACACGAUGUCCUCAGACAAACAUUAGCUGACAGAACCGACGUGGAACCAAGAGUUGAUCCGCUUGAUUCUAAGGUUCAUUGAUAAAUAACGUGCGCUCGGUUCCUGGUGAACCUUUUAAAUGUGUUGACCGGUUUGAUGAUCCGGAAAGAAAAGACAGUUCCUUCUGGAGUCACUGUGACAUUAAAUAUUAGAGGUUUGAAAAUGGCCUCAAACAUUCAGCGCUGCUCUCGUAUACUCGUUUGAUUCAAGUAGAAACUGAAAUACAAAUGAAUAAAUAAUGAAGACGUCAAUAUUUCCGUUAUUAAAGACUAAAUUUCCCAGGAAGAUUUAAGCUUGUAGAAAAAGAAGAGGCGAAAUAAAAAAACAACUUCCCGUCAAUCUGCUGCAGAUUCGAUCAUUUGUGUAUUUUCUUGUUUUGUCCGUUGAUAUUUUUCUGUUAGUUCGAGCAAAGCUUCUUUUUCUCUCUGUGGUCGUGGAUUCAGGAGGACGAUCACGUGUAUAAUUCAGUUACUAUCAGUUAAAAGCAAAUGUUUAAACUUUUCUCUGACUUUCUGCUUUGCCAACGUGAGAACGCAGACGCUCACUACGAGACGUUUAUAUCUAAAGACAUUUAUUUUAACUUUCACUCCAAAAAAAAUCUCAUUUAAAAUAGAUGUAAAGUGUGAAUUGCAAAUGAAACGACCUUUGGGAAUAUAACCUGUAAAUCAGCCGUGGGACUCUGGAUAGAAAAGGAUCAUGUACUUUUUGUUUUGGUGCCAAUGGGAAGUGCAGCAGGUGGAGCCGACGCUGGACGACUGUAGAAUAUAAUCAUAGCUUUAUUUAGUUCCAGCUGACGUGGAUUAUUAUAAGGGAUCAGAUUUGGAAGCUUAUGAUUAAAAUCAGUUUAUGGUUUUGUUGUAUAUGUUUGGAUAUCAAUAAAGCAUUCCUUUAAAUGACAA